rnacentral:rRNA from 1 species
CUUUUAUGGAGAGUUUGAUCCUGGCUCAGGACGAACGCUGGCGGCGUGCCUAAUACAUGCAAGUCGAGCGGACAGAGAAGGAGCUUGCUCCUUCGACGUUAGCGGCGGACGGGUGAGUAACACGUGGGCAACCUACCUUAUAGUUUGGGAUAACUCCGGGAAACCGGGGCUAAUACCGAAUAAUCUAUUUUACUUCAUGGUGAAAUACUGAAAGACGGUUUCGGCUGUCGCUAUAAGAUGGGCCCGCGGCGCAUUAGCUA